UACGUAGGGUGCAAGCGUUUAAUCGGAAUACUGGGCGUAAAGCGUGCGCAGGCGGUUUUGUAAGUCUGUCGUGAAAUCCCCGGGCUCAACCUGGGAAUUGCGAUGGAGACUGCAAGGCUAGAAUCUGGCAGAGGGGGGUAGAAUUCCACGUGUAGCAGUGAAAUGCGUAGAGAUGUGGAGGAACACCGAUGGCGAAGGCAGCCCCCUGGGUCAAGAUUGACGCUCAUGCACGAAAGCGUGGG
rnacentral:rRNA from 1 species